GAUGAAGAACGCAGCGAAAUGCGAUAAGUAAUGUGAAUUGCAGAAUUCAGUGAAUCAUCGAAUCUUUGAACGCACCUUGCACCCUUUGGACUGCUCCAAAGGGUAUGCUCGUUUGAGUGUCAUUGUACUCUCACACUCUCUGAUCCUUUGGAUUUGGGGAGCAGUGGACUUGGGUGCUUGCUGCUUCCUUGUGGCUCACCUGAAAUGCAUCAGUGCAUCUCUCGAUUGGACAUAGUACGGCGUGAUAAGUGUCUUCGCCGGCACCUCAUAUGAGGGUGGCCGAUCGGGAGCUCUGUGCUUUCAAACCGUCUUCGGACAACGCUGACAACUUGACCUCAAAUCGAGUAGGACUACCCGCUGAACUUAAGCAUAUCAUAAGCGGAGGA
rnacentral:misc_RNA from 1 species